GGCUAGCUCUGCUGUUGAUGCUGAAAAUCACUUUUGGGUUCUCAUGCAUCAGGUCAUGGAGGAAGGAACCAACUGCUGUAGCAUUUAAGGGAGAACACAGCAGGAGGAGGAAGUUCAGCCCAGUGUAUGCAGACUACUGUGGGAGGCUUCCUGUUAUUGAGGUGUAAAGUGUUGAGAAAUGCCAAGUGUGAAAGAAAAGGAAAAUACAGAUCAUCACCAAGGGUGUGUAAGGUCAAGGUCUAGGAGAACUUCUGUGAGAAGUAACAUAAAGGGUAAGUGUUGUACAGUGAUAAGUCAGUGAAGUGAAAUUGCUCCCACAGGUUCUGGAUAAAAUUAAAAUAGUAGAUGAAUGUCUUCA